rnacentral:lncRNA from 1 species
UAGGAUUUCUUUAAUAAGUCCACCCCAGGACGGGCAUAUGGGUGCUAUCCCCCACAGGGUUACUAGUCAGAGCUGUUUGGUGGCAAAUCGCUCCUCUCGAACUGUACCUGUCAGUAGGACACAUUCAAACACGAUGACGUCAUUGCAAGAAUUCCGGCCUGGCAGUGCACUUUCGAACACCAUGACAUCAUCACAAGAAUUCCGGCCAGGCAGUGCACUUACGAACAAGAUGACAUCAUCACAAGAAUUCAAGCCGGGCAGUGCACUUACGAACAAGAUGACAUCAUCACAAGAAUUCCGGCCGGGCAGUGCACUUACGAACAUGAUGACAUCAUCACAAGAUUUCCGUCGGAGAGGAUUGUCUUCUCAGAUAUACAGAACCGAGGAGACAUGGAAUGGCUCAAGCUUUAGAAGACAAGAACCUGUCUAUUCUUCACUGUCCUCCCUGGUGUCUGUAAGGGAACCCUUCAGCAUCCAUGGUCUUCUCCAUGGUAACCAAGCCAAAUGAAUGUCACUGGAGGAUUAUCUCUUCUUAACUAGGCAAAGAGGUAAAGAUAUUAACAUGUUGACAGAGGAUUAUCUUAAAAUUUUCUGUUUGUCCUGGUAUUCUCAGUGAAGUGUCCACAAGUAUACAUGGCAAUAUUCAAGUGGGUGUUUCUGAAAUGUAUCCAGUAGGUGUGCGUCUAAUACAUGAGUGCUACAGUAUACCUGACAUUAUUAUUUUUUAAUUAAUAAAAAAUAGGGAAGACAGUGCAAGUAACCCCUUUGUUUAUUUACGCAUUUUCAGGUAAGUAGUUCCUUUAAUAUCUUUUAUUAAUUCAGACUUGAC